UACAGAGGCCUCGAGCGUUAGGCGGAAUCACUGGGCUUAAAGCGUGUGUAGGCGGACUUCUAAGUACCUUGUGAAAUCCCACGGCUUACCCGUGGAACGGCUGGGUAUACUGGUCGUCUUGAGCCAUCUAGGGGCUACCGGAACAAAUGGUGGAGCGGUGAAAUGCGUAGAUAUCGGAAGGAACAUCAGUGGCGAAAGCGGCUUCCUGGACCAGAACUGACGAUCAGGCACGAAAGCGUGGGGAGCAAACAGGG
rnacentral:rRNA from 1 species